GUCGAACGGCAGCACGGGAGCAAUCCUGGUGGCGAGUGGCGAACGGGUGAGUAAAGCAUCGGAACGUGCCCAGUCGUGGGGGAUAACGUAGCGAAAGCUACGCUAAUACCGCAUACGAUCUGUGGAUGAAAGCGGGGGACCGUAAGGCCUCGCGCGAUUGGAGCGGCCGAUGUCAGAUUAGGUAGUUGGCGGGGUAAAGGCUCACCAAGCCGACGAUCUGUAGCUGGUCUGAGAGGACGACCAGCCACACUGGGACUGAGACACGGCCCAGACUCCUACGGGAGGCAGCAGUGGGGAAUUUUGGACAAUGGGCGCAAGCCUGAUCCAGCAACGCCGCGUGCAGGAUGAAGGCCUUCGGGUUGUAAACUGCUUUUGUACGGAGCGAAAAGGCUUCCACUAAUACUGGGGGCUCAUGACGGUACCGUAAGAAUAAGCACCGGCUAACUACGUGCCAGCAGCCGCGGUAAUACGUAGGGUGCAAGCGUUAAUCNNAAUUACUGGGCGUAAAGCGUGCGCAGGCGGUCUUGUAAGACAGGUGUGAAAUCCCCGGGCUUAACCUGGGAACUGCACUUGUGACUGCUAGGCUGGAGUACGGCAGAGGGGGAUGGAAUUCC
rnacentral:rRNA from 1 species